AUUGCACGCUGGCGGCAGGCCUAACACAUGCAAGUCGAGCGAGCGGCGGCCGGGUGAGUAAUGUCUGGGAAACUGCCUGAUGGAGGGGGAUAACUACUGGAAACGGUAGCUAAUACCGCAUACCAUCAGAUGUGCCCAGAUGGGAUUAGCUAGUAGGUGGGGUAACGGCUCACCUAGGCGACGAUCCCUAGCUGGUCUGAGAGGAUGACCAGCCACACUGGAACUGAGACACGGUCCAGACUCCUACGUGAGGAAGCAGUGGAGAAUAUUGCAAAUUGGGGGCAAGCCUGAUGAAGCCAUGCCGCGUGUGUGAAGAAGGCCUUCGGGUGGUAAAGCACUUUCAGCGGGGAGGCGUUACCCGCAGAAGAAGCACCGGCUAACUCCGUGCCAGCAGCCGCGGUAAUUC
rnacentral:rRNA from 1 species